GGGAUAUUAGUUUAAUGGUAAAACAAGAUGCUUCGGUCAUCUUUGUUGUAGUUCAAGUCUGCAGUAUCCUU
rnacentral:tRNA from 1 species